rnacentral:lncRNA from 1 species
CUUAAGAAGAGGCUUAAGUGUGGUGUAUAACACCAAUCUUAUUAUUAUCAAUUCAUGUAUCACUACAAGGUGUAAAUUUUAUUUUACAUUUCUUACAACAUUUGAUAUUGCAUCAGCAUGGGAUACAUCAUACAUGUAUAUGCGUCUAGUUUUUUAUGUAGGCUUUCUCAAUGCUUGGCUUGCCCCCCUUUCCACCACCGGGAAAAUCUAUCACGUUUACACCUCUGCCCCUUUUACCACCACUAGGAAAAUUUACGACGAUUCCACCACCACCUUCAUUUGUGUUUCCUCCACCACGUCCGUUGGAGUAUUUAAAGGGGCUUUUCCAUAUUGCACCUCCGCCUGACCAGGAUGCAAGGCCAUCAACCUCAAUGUAUGUAUCUGAUUCUUCUAUUUUACCAACUGAAAAUAAACAAAAUUUAUAAUUUAAAAUAAAAGAAGAGAGCAAUUAUACAUAUAUGGAAACUAGUUACACACACACACACAAUUUUUUCCAUAUUCAGAAGGCGCAAUUGCUCCAACAUAGAUAAAAACUAUUGUCCAAAAGCACAUGACAAUAGACAACUUGGUUUUCAUCUUUACUACAAUUAAGAGUUUCUUAUUAAAA